UAUGGUGGAUGUGUGUGUGUGUGUGUGUGUGUGUGUGUAUGUAUACACACAUACAUAUACAUAUACAUGUGUGUAUGUGUAUAUA
rnacentral:pre_miRNA from 12 species